CAGUAGCCACGGUAAUACAGAGGGUGCGAGCGUUAAUCGGAUUUACUGGGCGUAAAGCGUGCGUAGGCGGCUUUUUAAGUCGGAUGUGAAAUCCCCGAGCUUAACUUGGGAAUUGCAUUCGAUACUGGGAAGCUAGAGUAUGGGAGAGGAUGGUAGAAAUCCAGGUGUAGCGGUGAAAUGCGUAGAGAUCUGGAGGAAUACCGAUGGCGAAGACAGCCAUCUGGCCUAAUACUGACGCUGAGGUACGAAAGCAUGGGGAGCAAACAGGAUUAGAUACCCCCGUAGUCCCUGUCUCUUAUAC
rnacentral:rRNA from 1 species